rnacentral:rRNA from 1 species
AUUGAACGCUGGCGGCAUGCCUUACACAUGCCAGUCGAACGGCAGCACGGGUGCUUGCACCUGGUGGCGAGUGGCGAACGGGUGAGUAAUACAUCGGAACAUGUCCUGUAGUGGGGGAUAGCCCGGCGAAAGCCGGAUUAAUACCGCAUACGAUCCACGGAUGAAAGCGGGGGACGUUCGGGCCUCGCGCUAUAGGGUUGGCCGAUGGCUGAUUAGCUAGUUGGUGGGGUAAAGGCCUACCAAGGCGACGAUCAGUAGCUGGUCUGAGAGGACGACCAGCCACACUGGGACUGAGACACGGCCCAGACUCCUACGGGAGGCAGCAGUGGGGAAUUUUGGACAAUGGGCGAAAGCCUGAUCCAGCAAUGCCGCGUGUGUGAAGAAGGCCUUCGGGUUGUAAAGCACUUUUGUCCGGAAAGAAAUCCUUGACUCUAAUACAGUCGGGGGAUGACGGUACCGGAAGAAUAAGCACCGGCUAACUACGUG